GAGCACCUUCAUGAUAAUAUAUCAAAGACAGGUAAGAAGUAAAUCACAAUCGACCAUGCAAGGGCUGUAUAGCUAGUCAUGGUCGUUAAAAGUUUCAUUUGUUGUAAAUUACAGGCAUGCCAAAAUGAUUUCACAUUCCUUAAACCAUCAGAGAAAUGUUAGUUCAAAUCUUUUGUUUUAGUUUGCUGUGAUUGGAAACAUGUCGCUUUGAAAAAGAUUUUACACUCAGUGAAGCUAUACAAGACCUGUUAUUGAAAUUUAAAACAAAGAUCCAUUUACAACGUACAGACCUGAUGAUAAAUCAAUAGAAUUCAUAAAUUAAUUUAUUUGUAUUUCAUGACAGGCCAAUUAGUACAAAGCGAUUUUGAAUUAGAUUAAAGAAACGACAAUUAUAAUAGAUUCUAAAUAUUAUAAAUUAAGUUUUAUAGAUAAUUGAAUUUGUUGUUGUUGAUUGACAUACAUGAAUUUUAAAUAUCUAUUGAGAAAUAUUGCAAUGUUGAAAUAAAAAAAAACAAAUAUUUGUACUUGGAAAAUCCUUUCAGCUUCCGAUAUUUGCAAAUGGCAAUACAUGUACAUACCAAUUUUACAGUGGUAGGUUGGCUGUUUAAACGAUUUGCAUACUUAACAUAUACUGUUCUUAUUUUACUGCACAACUGAUCAAUUGUAAUUUUUUAUAAAUGCAUCGUUGAACUUUUAAAAAAUCAAGAAACGGCUUUCAUUUUGAAAAGAAUUCAGAAAAAAUGUGUAAUUAAGAGACACACUAAUGGUCGUUUCAUGAAAACAAACCAUUCGCCCUCCAGAGGGGGAGUUAUGAUUUCUUUUUCAGAGACCAACUUAAACAUUGUAUCUAAAAUACAUAUUAUGAUUGAAGAAAUCACAUGUUUUAUUUAAAAAUCUCAUUGUAUAUUAUUUUUAUUUUACCAUGUUUCCCCCUAGUAUUAGAACUAACAUUUUGCAUCAUUUCAGAACUACCUAAACUACAGAUUAUAGACAAAAAUAAUACCCGAUCGUGCACACGUAAAGAAGCAGAGUCAAUGUAUUGUGUUGGCUGUUUUAAAGAACAGAAACAAGUAAUGUUUAACUGUGGUCACAAAAUGACAUGCCAAAAUUGUUCUACUUUGUAUUUUUCUUGUCCAUAUUGCCAUACUGCUGUGACA
rnacentral:lncRNA from 1 species